rnacentral:lncRNA from 1 species
UGUCCAGGCCAGAGCGACUGCUCAGGGAGACUUUGCAGAGCAGCGUAGGGAUUGCCUGGAAGUGGUACCAAGUUUCUGCACCAUUAGUCAAGAGAUCAUUUAAACUAGAAAGUGGAGAAUAAUUUGCAAAAUUCAGAUAAGUGGACACUUUUUCUUUUAUUAGCUCUCUCUAUUUUUACCACACUCAGUAUCCCUUAUCAAAAAUAAGUAGUAGCCAUUGGUCCUCGAUGUUUUUGGUCACGCAACUCCUAAUGGAAUGAGAAAUUUUUGUAUUAGAAAUGCAACAUAUUGGCUAUCCUCACAUUUUUGGAAGCAAGAGCUCUGAACUGUUUUCUCCAAAGUUGGCCCUCAUUAAUCCUUCUUACUCUCAGCCACUGCUUAAUAUUUCCACAAAGCAGUUCAAGCUCACCAUACCAGAGGCCCCUCAGAUUCCGCAGCGGAGAAUGACACCGGGUCACAGUCAGACUCCUGUGACAAUGACAUUUUCUGGGAGAGUUCUGCACAGCUGUGUCACUAUUAACUUUUAAUGAACAUCCUUUCUUCCUUUGAAUUUUGGCGAGUUAAAUGGACAUGCCAUUUUUACUUUCAUCCCUACUUUAUGUGACACACUAUAUAGUAAUUAUGGGUGCUAAGGUAGUUUGGGAUGCCUAACUUGGGUGUUCCAAAACUAAUAGCAUAAUUUUGCCCAUAGUUACACACAAAUGUAAUAUAAGAUUUUUUUUUAAAGUCUGGGGCUGAAAAUACAUUUUAACUUAUAAUACACCAAAAGGCAAAGAGAUGUAUCUAGGCCUGAAUUUGGGCCCCACUGUUCAUUUCAGGGACCGCGGCUCUAUGGAGAACUCAAUGGAAGGCGUGCCCAAUGGUUCCUGGGACAAUGAGUGGAACAGAGGCUCCGUGGCGGUCAUUUUGGAGCAUUAUUCAUUCCUGGUCUCCACAAUAGCUGGAAUCUGAUAAUUUAGCAUUAAGCCUCUUUUCAACUAUAUGGAACUGUAAUAAGGUGAUUUAGCCAAUGUGCCUGUCCAUUGUCCCAGAGAUUCUGUGAUCUAUUAUGCUGCAAUGUGUAAAAAGAAAGAUAUAGAACCCAGGGUAGCCUCCAAUCCAAGCUCACAG